UGCCACUCGUACAGCCCAGGCAGGUGCUGACGGACGAGCUCCCGUUCGCUCUCCCUCCUCUCCAGAGAGGCCGCGGGGGAGGCAGGGCUUCCUCCCCGGCCGCGCUGUCCAAGCUGGGACAGGCCRUGCUGCUCCCGCCGGCUCCUCCGUGGCCGUUCCGGAGAAAUGAUGGGCGAGACUCUGCAUUGCCGGGUCCUGGGAAAGCCUGGCACCUUCCAAACUACGGAGCAGAUGGGACUGAGAAAGCUGACAGCAACAUCUCAUAACUGGAAGAUAGAAGCACAAGGCUGUUUCUGAGCAGUGCCCUUCCCUGGCUCAGCGCCCAGUGCCACCAGAGCCCCUUGCAGGAUCCUCAGCAGCGCAGACACCCUGGAUGCUCAGGAGCAGAGGAUCUAUCAACUGCAGACUAAGCAGAGGGAGAGGCAGGCAGAACAGGAGCAGAAAUGCAGCCAGAGCAGCAGCUCAGCCAGGACCUGCGGGGCAUCCACCAGCUACGGAAGGGMUCUUGAAGCAGCACCUGAGGAGGAACAGAGCUACAGCAGCUGAGACUGCAGCGAGAUCUUGUGAGAAAGAUGGUGCAAAUGCCCUAGACCUUCAGCAAAGUUAGGACCACCUGGCUGUGUCGUACCUUGGAGACUGGGACAGCUGCUAAACAUCUGAAAAAAAGAAGCAAUUAUGCAAGGUCAGCAGASGUGGCCUCUUGCAGACAGAUCUGCCCUCAACUCUGCCCACCUGAGGGGUUGAGCAAUGCUGUGGAGCACCGCUGGAGCCAGAGGAAACAGUGCUGGUGUGAAGCCCUAUCCAAGAGCACAAAUAACAUCAUGUUCUUAUGAUCCUCCUUUGCAUUUCCUUCCUGCAGAUUCCCAGAGUGAGCAGGAAGGGACUGGGCUGCCUGACCUCUUGUACAGACAGUCAAGAAAAUUUCACCAUGUUACUGUGAAAUCAGUAACUUGUCUAAGGCAGCUUCAGACAGGUGUUUGGCUGGGCUUGAAGACAUCAAAAGAUGGCAAAUGCACCACAUCCCCCCCAGCACUCAGUCCCUUCACASCACUCACAUCACUAUUUUCCUCUCAUUACUGUUAUGCCAACAGGGCUAAUGAAGAUUUCUAUGCAGCAGCAGUAUGGUCUCAACUUUGUUUCCCUUUGGUUUUAGACUUUAUCUUAGAACACUCUUUUCUUUUUGGCCAGAGACUUAAGG